UGGGGAAUUUUGGACAAUGGGGGAAACCCUGAUCCAGCCAUCCCGCGUGUGCGAUGAAGGCCUUCGGGUUGUAAAGCACUUUUGGCAGGAAAGAAACGUCGCGGGUUAAUACCCCGCGAAACUGACGGUACCUGCAGAAUAAGCACCGGCUAACUACGUGCCAGCAGCCGCGGUAAUACGUAGGGUGCAAGCGUUAAUCGGAAUUACUGGGCGUAAAGCGUGCGCAGGCGGUUCGGAAAGAAAGAUGUGAAAUCCCAGAGCUUAACUUUGGAACUGCAUUUUUAACUACCGGGCUAGAGUGUGUCAGAGGGAGGUGGAAUUCCGCGUGUAGCAGUGAAAUGCGUAGAUAUGCGGAGGAACACCGAUGGCGAAGGCAGCCUCCUGGGAUAACACUGACGCUCAUGCACGAAAGCGUGGGGAGCAAACAGGAUUAGAUACCCUGGUAGUCCACGCCCUAAACGAUGUCAACUAGCUGUUGGGGCCUUCGGGCCUUGGUAGCGCAGCUAACGCGUGAAGUUGACCGCCUGGGGAGUACGGUCGCAAGAUUAAAAACUUAAAUGAAUUGAC
rnacentral:rRNA from 1 species